rnacentral:tRNA from 1 species
GUUUCUAGAGUGUAGCGGUCAGCACAUCUGCUUCACACGCAGAAGAUCCUGGGUUCGUGCCCCAGUGGAGCCA